rnacentral:rRNA from 1 species
UGGGGAAUCUUGGCCAAUGGGGGAAACCCUGAUCCAGCGACGCCGCGUGGGUGAAGAAGGCCCUAGGGUUGUAAACCCCUUUCACCGGGGAGGAUGAUGACGUUACCCGGAGAAGAAGCACCGGCUAACUCCGUGCCAGCAGCCGCGGUAAGACGGAGGGUGCUAGCGUUGUUCGGAAUCACUGGGCGUAAAGGGCGCGUAGGCGGCUUCAUUAGUCAGAUGUGAAAGCCCGGGGCUCAACCCCGGAACUGCAUUUGAUACUGUGAGGCUAGAGGUCGAAAGAGGAGAGUGGAAUACCCAGUGUAGAGGUGAAAUGCGUAGAUAUUGGGUGGAACACCAGUGGCGAAAGCGGCUCUCUGGUGCGAUACUGACGCUGAGGCGCGAAAGCGUGGGGAGCAAACAGGAUUAGAUACCCCGGUAGUCC